rnacentral:rRNA from 4 species
ACGGGUGAGUAACGCGUGGGAACAUACCCUUUUCUACGGAAUAGCUCUGGGAAACUGGAAUUAAUAUCGUAUACGCCCUACGGGGGAAAGAUUUAUCGGGGAAGGAUUGGCCCGCGUUGGAUUAGCUAGUUGGUGGGGUAAAGGCCUACCAAGGCGACGAUCCAUAGCUGGUCUGAGAGGAUGAUCAGCCACAUUGGGACUGAGACACGGCCCAAACUCCUACGGGAGGCAGCAGUGGGGAAUAUUGGACAAUGGGCGCAAGCCUGAUCCAGCCAUGCCGCGUGAGUGAUGAAGGCCUUAGGGUUGUAAAGCUCUUUCACCGAUGAAGAUAAUGACGGUAGUCGGAGAAGAAGCCCCGGCUAACUUCGUGCCAGCAGCCGCGGUAAUACGAAGGGGGCUAGCGUUGUUCGGAAUUACUGGGCGUAAAGCGCACGUAGGCGGAUAUUUAAGUCAGGGGUGAAAUCCCAGAGCUCAACUCUGGAACUGCCUUUGAUACUGGGUAUCUUGAGUAUGGAAGAGGUAAGUGGAAUUGCGAGUGUAGAGGUGAAAUUCGUAGA